rnacentral:rRNA from 1 species
GACGAACGCUGGCGGCGUGCCUAAUACAUGCAAGUCGAGCGAAGUUUUUCCGGUGCUUGCACCGGAAAAACUUAGCGGCGCACGGGUGAGUAACACGUAAAGAACCUGCCUCAUAGACUGGGACAACUAUUGGAAACGAUAGCUAAUACCGGAUAAUAGCAUUAACUGCAUGGUUGAUGUUUAAAAGUUGGUUUUGCUAACACUAUGAGAUGGCUUUGCGGUGCAUUAGCUAGUUGGUGGGGUAAAGGCCUACCAAGGCGACGAUGCAUAGCCGACCUGAGAGGGUGAUCGGCCACACUGGGACUGAGACACGGCCCAGACUCCUACGGGAGGCAGCAGUAGGGAAUCUUCCGCAAUGGGCGAAAGCCUGACGGAGCAACGCCGCGUGAGUGAAGAAGGAUUUCGGUUCGUAAAGCUCUGUUGUUAGGGAAGAAUGAUUGUGUAGUAACUAUACACAGUAGAGACGGUACCUAACCAGAAAGCCACGGCUAACUACGUG